CACGUAGGGACCAAGCGUUGUCCGGAUUUAUUGGGCGUAAAGAGCUCGUAGGCGGUUCGGUAAGUCGGGUGUGAAAACUCUGGGCUCAACCCGGAGAGGCCACCUGAUUCUGCCGUGACUUGAGUCCGGUAGGGGAGCACGGAAUUCCUGGUGUAGCGGUGAAAUGCGCAGAUAUCAGGAGGAACACCGGUGGCGAAGGCGGUGCUCUGGGCCGGUACUGACGCUGAGGAGCGAAAGCGUGGGUAGCAAACAGG
rnacentral:rRNA from 1 species